rnacentral:rRNA from 1 species
GAUGAACGCUGGCGGCGUGCCUAAUACAUGCAAGUCGAGCGAACAGACGAGGAGCUUGCUCCUCUGACGUUAGCGGCGGACGGGUGAGUAACACGUGGAUAACCUACCUAUAAGACUGGGAUAACUUCGGGAAACCGGAGCUAAUACCGGAUAAUAUAUUGAACCGCAUGGUUCAAUAGUGAAAGACGGUUUUGCUGUCACUUAUAGAUGGAUCCGCGCCGCAUUAGCAAGUUGGUAAGGUAACGGCUUACCAAGGCAACGAUGCGUAGCCGACCUGAGAGGGUGAUCGGCCACACUGGAACUGAGACACGGUCCAGACUCCUACGGGAGGCAGCAGUAGGGAAUCUUCCGCAAUGGGCGAAAGCCUGACGGAGCAACGCCGCGUGAGUGAUGAAGGUCUUCGGAUCGUAAAACUCUGUUAUUAGGGAAGAACAAAUGUGUAAGUAACUAUGCACGUCUUGACGGUACCUAAUCAGAAAGCCACGGCUAACUACGUG